GGUGGGAGCUGGCCGGGGGGAGCCUGGAGGAUGCAAGAUGUUUGACUUCUUUAUUUUCCUUUCUUUUUUUUUUGCUGGGGAGGGGGAAGACGAGGAGUCAAGCCCCGGUACAGGCGGAGGAACUGGGUGUUUGGAAGAUGUUGCAAACCAUUGACUGGAGCGUUUGAAAGGGAGAUCGACUGCUUUGGCUUUUUUUUUUUUUUUUUUUUUGCUUUUUUUUCCCCUCCCCCACCUCUCCGGAGGGGUAGGGAUGUGUGUGAUCAGGGAGUGGAAACAAAUAUGUCCUUAUUUUCAAUGCCCCCUUUGAAAGAGACAAAGUAAAUGCUCCUUGCAAAAUGUUCCUGACCUGCGAAGGGACCUUCGGAAUUGUUCCAGCUACCAUGGAUUACAAUGGGGAAGCCAGGCCGGGGGAUUUUCAUGCUGGCUAUCAAGAAAUCGAAGGGAUAAACUUGGGAUACUUACAGAUCAAUGGCACCCAGAUGUUUGCUUUGGCCCAGGUCCUCAGCGACCUGUUUAAGGAUAUCCCCAGGACCACCAUCAGCAAGAAGAUGGAAACCUUAAAGAUCAAGAGCCGACGCUGCGAUCUCAAAGAGCUCCGGACCCUCAAAGCCAUCAACUCGGUGCCCACCCGCGCGGUGAAAUGCUCCCUCAUCUCCAAGGCGGACCUGGAGGCUCUCUGCACCUCCUGCAAGAGCCUCAGCCCCCGGAGGAGGAAGAGGAAAAGGAAGAGCAAGAGGAGGGAGCAGCUGCUGCUGCCGGACCCGGGGGAGCUCUUUCCCUGCCCCCGGCCCCAGCUGCUGCCGCCCUGCAGAGCCGGCGGCUGCUGCGCUCCCGCGGCCCCCGGCCGCCCCAAGCUGCCCCCCGCCUUCCCCAAGCCGCGCUCGGCGCCGGCCGCGCUGCUACCGCAGCCCUUCCACAGGGCCUUCCCCGCCUUCGAGAAGCCCCCCCGGGGCCGGAGGGGCUGCGGGCUGGCGGGCCGGGGGGGGCUCUUCGCCGGCGUCCUGGCCGGGUACCCCCGCGACCUGGCGCUGCUGCACCCCGCGGCCGCGCACCCCUCCGCGCAGGCGGCCGCGCUCGCUCAGCCGGGCCGGCGCAAACGGGGUCCCUGCUGUGCCAAGGGGCUCUUCCCGGCGGAGAAGGGACCCGCGGCCGCCAGGAAAGGCCGCUCCUCCGUCUUCCCCGGCUCCAAGCGGCAGGGUACCUCCGCCGGCUACUCCAGCGACUCGGACUCCAGCCUGGACUUCGGUGGGUCCAGCCCCGCCACCUCCAGCGACUCGUCGGAGGAGGAAGAAGAGGAGGAGGAGGAGGAGGAAGGGGACACCUCGUGCAGCAGCGAGGAAGGCAGCUCCUCGGAGUCGGAGAGCAGCUCGCUGUGCAGCGGGGACUCGGUGCAGAGCACCCGGUACAGGCAGGCGGCUCUGCCCCGCUUCCAGCCGCAGCCCCCCCGGGAGCCCCUCGGCGAGGAGCGCCCUGCCGAGCCCCCCCCGAGCGUGGGCAAAGCCCUGCGCCCCGACCCCAACCUCCUCUUCCUCUCGCAGCAGCUCUGGGCCAGGACUUUGCGAGCAUCAACUUUGGAAAGUUUGAGCCCGGGUCCGGUCCUGGGCUCGGGGGCCCAGCCGCUGCCGGAGCUGUACGCAAAGCAGGAGGCCUCCCCUUCCUCCUCCUCCUCCUCCUCCUUCUCCUCCUCCUCCUCCUCCCCCCCUCCCUCCCCGAGCAGCACCCCUGGGGGGGAUCCGCAACAAAAGGAGGGAGGCUUUGGGGACGCGGAGCCCUGCGCCAAAGGGAAGGAUUUGCACAAAGAUGCCUCGAACAAUAGAGCCUCGUUAGGCCCCAGUGACCAGGCAGAGAGGCAAAGCGGAGCUUUAGCCGGGCGAGCGCCUUCCCAAGAGCCGGCCCCGGGCUCGGCCCCGCAGCCCCCGGCUCAGGAGCUGGCGGGGAGCCUCGGCCCGGCGCCCCCCGGGGAGACGGGGGAGCCCCGGCGGGAGCACUUUGACCGGCUGAUCCGGCAAUCCAAGCUGUGGUGUUACGCCAAAGGGUUCAACCUGGACGGGAAAAGUUUGCGCCACGGAGGGAGGACGGAGCCCUGUAAAGCUGCAGAGCUCAAAUCCCCCGGCUCCAAAAGAGCAGAGAGCCCCAGCACCUUGUCAAACAAAGCUUUGAAAGGCAAUGGCUCGGAAAGGAAUGCCAAGCGCAGACGCCUUGCCAGAGGCGCUGAGGCAGAAAGGCAACAGAGCUCCUCUAAAGGGAGGCCACAAAAGACUCAAAGGAGGAAUGCCAAAAAGGGAAACACUCAUUGCAAACGCCUCGGCAGCGCCGGGCCAACCCCGCCUCGGAAUUCCUUCAGCCUCAUGGGCAACUUCCCCUGUAUUCCCUCCCUGGUCGUGGGGGAAGAUGGGGACCUGUGUCCUGCCUCCUCCCUGGGGGUCAAAAACUCCUGGGCCCUCUCCAAAACUCACCCGCUGUGGAGCUGGCACCUGGGGGGCAACGCUAUCCCGGUGCCCCCCAGCCUCAAAUUCCGGGGCUAUAGCUUGGAGGAUCUCUAAGGACAGCGGACGGCCCGGAGGAAAGAGUCCUUGUCAAAAUGGAACACCCCUCCUUGAAAUUAAUUGCCAGUAAAGAUACCGAGAGGUACGUGGUUUUCAUAAUGGAUUUUUUUCUUUUUUUUAAUGUGAGAAAAAUCUAGACAGGAAAAAAGGUACCGGAGAGUCCGUAGUGUGUUUUCCGCAUUACAAACUUUUUGUAGGCAGUAAUGUGUGCAGCUGCAUUCGUCUGUGUUUUAUGGGUGUUCAUGUACGCGUGCACACAUGUGCUCAGCUACUCGCACGGAGCACGUGUGUCCACGUGCGCGUGUAUAUAAUUUAAAGUGCUGUCGCAGAGACCUGUGAUCUCUUUUGGGACGGGUGAGGCGUAUCGGGGCCGUUGGAGGAGCAGCUCCCCCGGGCAGGAGGCAGCAGGACCCCCCUGGUGUCCCCCCCAGAGCAGGGGGGUUGCAACCCCCCCGGUGCUGCUCCGACCCCGCUGAUGGCUUUUCUUCCUGAGGAGCCUUUUAGAAUAACUAAAUAACGUGGCAACCGGAGGAGAGGAGAAACUUUUAGGAAGAGGGGGGGCCGUUUUGGGAAACCCCCGUGCAUCUGGAGGCAAACCCCGGCCGGCACUCCGGAGAUCGGGGAAGAAACGCGGGGUCGGCAGGAUUGGAGCUGCCGUCCAGGAAAAUCGAAUGACGCCGCCCCCCCAUCCUCCCGGUGUAUAUAUAUUUAUAACAUCCCAAGGGUGUAGCUCUGUCUCUCUUGGUUUAAAACAAAACCAGACAGAGUCUUGAGGGUCAAAAGGGAGGUGGGGGAGGGUUUUUCUCUACCUACCCCCAGACAAAGAUCCCUUUGAAUCUAAUCAAGCAGAAAAGAAACCCCUUUCCUGUGUGUUUUUGUAUGAGGGGAGAGGGGUUAGGGCUGCCCUGGAAGGUAAAAGGAAAGGAGAUCCCAUUUUUCCUUUCAACAAUGAGAUCUUUAUAAAUGUUCUCAAAAAACCCCAAACCCACCCAUCCGCCCCAGCAGUGGAAGGACGUUGCUGCGUGUUCCCAGUGGACAAGGAGAUCAUUCCUGCAGCGGGUCCGAUCCUGUCUCCAGCAAGCUCAACAAGAAAACUUCGCCAAGUCCCUAUUUCCUAUUGUCCGUCGCCUGCCAAAGUCCAGCCGAGGGGCCCGAAGAACCUGCUCGUGCUGGAAGAUUUUUUCUUCGAUGUGAAACGCACGGAGGGAUGGGCCACCGGUCCCUCAGGGGGGGUGGCCGCAGCCCCGGGGCACCGUGCUUGUGCUUCUGCUUUUCGAUGGCUUUUCUUGGUGACCUCGGGCACUCCUGGACAGAUGCCACAUCCCUGUCCCCUGCUGCGGGGUGACUGGGGACCCCCGUGCGCUGCAGGAUGAGGAUCCGGCCGGGACGCUCUGCAGGACUUGCUGGCGUCUCCGGUGGGACCUCCCCAGCACAGGGGGUCUUGCUGUUCCAGAGCUCCUGGGGUCCCAGCACGGGUGUGUUGGCAGCGCUGUUGUCCGUGUGCUCUUUAUUGAUGUCAUAACAAACCUGUCCCUGUCCCCUCUGCAGAAAAUCCCCAAUUUAUCACUGUACGUGCACCUACCCCCCGGGUCCCUGAGGGCGUAGCGGUGGCUCUGCAGCGCAGACAAGGCCUCAGACGCUGCUUUUUACAUCCUUUUAACUAAUACCACAUGACAGUGAUUUAAGCUAAUCAGUACAACCUCCCCGUGUCAAUGCAAGAAUCCUCAUAACCUCGGUGUUUACAUUAAGUACAGCAGUGUUUCAGCUAUAAAAGCACUUUCAAACUGACAUUAACUGCAGUGUAACGAUGUUAGAUUGACUGGAGUUGGGUCAAACGCCUACCAAAAGCCUGCUAGAAAGAAGCUGCUGUAGAAUUUAUUGCAAAAGCAUUAGCGUGGAGUCGUCCUUGAGAGGCUGGACUUCUCCUGGAUCCACAUAAGCUGUUUUGCAUUUACGCACCGACGUUUUGUACCAGUUCCCCUUGCCAAUUUGCAGCAGCCCCACGGUGCUUUGCUGGGCUGGGCCGUGAGCUGGAGGGGGCUCGCCGCAGACCCGUGACUUGUAGCACCCUUUUACAGGUUUUGGUUGCAAACCUGGGCACCCACGGGGUGCUGGAGGAUUGCUGUGCUCCUGUUUGCUGCUGCUGGCAAAAGGGGCCGUUGUUGGAGCAAAGCAGCCAGGUUAGUUCAAGCCACCUGGCAAAGCCGCUGCUCAGGGCGAUGGAGGGGCUGGAAAAGCUCAUGCGAAGGGUGCUGGGUCUGGGUCCCACGCAGCCAUCGGUGGGGACACCCAGCCGCAGGCUCAGCCCAGCCCAGCAGCACGUGGGACCAAGGUGCAAACCCCAGCGCCUGCCGUGGUCACUCGCGCUUCGAGUGUCCCUUUGCCCUGGGUGUGAGUGGGAGCUACAGCGCAGGGAACAAACCCCCUGGGACUGGGAGGCCACCGCGAGGUUUCUCCUACCGAGAGACUUUCAGCCGCAGGGAAGUGGAAUAAACUGCAGCGCUUUGAUUUCUGCCUAUGCAUGUCCACACUGGUGUUUGCAUCGCUUCAGCUGUUUUGGUGGAAAAUUUAUUGUUGAAAUAAUUAAACCAAUAUAAAAA